rnacentral:snRNA from 1 species
GGAUGUGAGGGCAACCAGGUCAUGACGUCUCAAACACUGUUGCUGACCAGGGUUGAUUUGGCUCCUCUGGCUGGCUAGGCAGGUCCCCCAUCCCCCUCACUAUUCCAUGUGCACCUCUCUGUAGCUGCUUGUUUGGUCAAAGAGGAUGGCCUUUUACAACUAGAAGCAGAUCUCUCUUCCGUUGAGGGUCUAUGAGUACCUGUGCUUGUCAACUAGAACCUCCAAGCAAGCUCUCCUGGUCUAGAAGAGAACUGCCCGCCCCCCCCACCCCACCCCAGAACCUUGAAGCUGAGGUGCCAG